rnacentral:tRNA from 1 species
UUUUAGGGAGACCAACUUCCAGUUGACCGACCCUUUGAUUAAGGUCACUGAGAAGUCAUCCCAAGGUCGUUCGAGGUCAAGGAGUGAAAACUUUCAAACUAUUAAGGUUCGGUGCAUGGGCUAUUAGCUCAGGUGGUUAGAGCGCACCCCUGAUAAGGGUGAGGUCCCUGGUUCGAGUCCAGGAUGGCCCACAUCUAAUAAAGAGAGGGUGUACAGCUUUUGUUGGAAUAGAGCGGUCUGGGUUAGGCAGAUUUCACUCGUUUGAGUGAGAUUAAAUCUAGGCAAGCCACUUAUCGGUAGGAGAAAGCAGAGAAGUCAACAAAGAUUAUUGCCAAAAUAGACUUCAGCACCUUAGCUUGCCGAAAAAAAGGCAAGAGAGAAUGCUGGAUGUUUAGUCCAGUCAGCACCUUGAAAACUGCAUAGCAAUAAGUCAAAAAGCAGGUAAGAGUAAAGACACUUUUCAAGUGUCAGGCUCUUAUCAGGCAAAGGUAACCAAUGUGGUCAAGC